rnacentral:misc_RNA from 1 species
GAUGAAUAACGCAGCGAAAUGCGAUAAGUAGUGUGAAUUGCAGAAUUCAGUGAAUCAUCGAAUCUUUGAACGCACAUUGCGCCCUUUGGUAUUCCAAAGGGCAUGCCUGUUCGAGCGUCAUUUGUACCCUCAAGCUUUGCUUGGUGUUGGGCGUCUUGUCUCUAGCUUUGCUGGAGACUCGCCUUAAAGUAAUUGGCAGCCGGCCUACUGGUUUCGGAGCGCAGCACAAGUCGCACUCUCUAUCAGCAAAGGUCUAGCAUCCAUUAAGCCUUUUUUUCAACUUUUGACCUCGGAUCAGGUAGGGAUACCCGCUGAACUUAAGCAUAUCAAUAAGCGGAGGA